CGCGUAGGCGGUUUCGGAAGUCAUGGGUGAAAGUCCUCGGCUCAACCGAGGGAUUGCCUGUGAAACCACGGGACUGGAGUGCUGGAGAGGGAAGUGGAAUUCCCAGUGUAGCGGUGAAAUGCGUAGAUAUUGGGAGGAACACCUGUGGCGAAGGUGGCUUCCUGGACAGACACUGACGCUGAGGCGCGAAAGCCAGGGGAGCGAACG
rnacentral:rRNA from 1 species